rnacentral:rRNA from 1 species
UGGGGCUAAGCGGAUAGAGUUGACGAAACUGGCCUUUUUAGGCGUUCGCGAUCGGGCUUCGGCUCGUGGUCGGGUUUGCAUUCAUUGUCGGUACGUGCUGGGACGUUUGGCAGGCUCUUCUGAAGGCUUCAGAGUGGCCCAGGCUUGCCUGGUAGUCUUCUGUUGUCGGAAGUUGAUAUGCUUGCUAAUCGUAAAGUUGACCAGGCCUCUGCGCGGUCAGUUGCUGGGUAGUUCUCUGCUUGGUAGUCGGACAUGUCUGGCUGCCUCGUGCGAGGGCUGGUUAGUGGCUGCUCGCCUAUGGUUCAAUCCCGGUAUGUGAAAGUCGACCACCUAUCCGACCCGUCUUGAAACACGGACCAAGAAGUCUAGUAUGUACGCGAGUCAUUGGGUAUCAAAACCUAUUGGCGCAAUAAAUGUGAAGGGCGGCUCGUUCGUCUGAUAUGUGAUCCGUCGGUUUCGGCCGGCGGCGCAACAUAGUCCCAUGCCUACUGCUUGCAGUGGUGUGGAGAUGGAGCGUACACACUAGGACCCGAAAGAUGGUGAACUAUGCCUGAGCAGGACGAAGUCAGAGGAAACUCUGAUGGAAGUCCGAAGCGGUUCUGACGUGCAAAUCGAUCGUCGGACUCGGGUAUAGGG